GUGCUCACAUCAGCCACACAUAUACUGAAAUUGAAACAAUACAGAGAAGAUUAGCACAGCCCCCAUACAAAGAUGACACCACAAAUUCUUGGAGAAAUGUAUCUACUUU